UGCAUUUUUUUAAUCUUAAAAAAUCUAAAUGAGUGAUUUCUUUGUGGUGAAAUGGUCCGGUUGGGGAGCCCUGCUACGCCGAAUAUGGAUGUCAAAGCUGAAAGUAAGCCGAAGAUAAACUAAAGU